UACGGAGGUCCCAAGCGUUGUUCGGAUUCACUGGGCGUAAAGGGUGCGUAGGUGGUCGGGUAAGUCUGAUGUGAAAUCUCCGAGCUUAACUCGGAAACUGCAUCGGAUACUAUUUGGCUAGAGGGUUGGAGGGGGGACUGGAAUACUUGGUGUAGCAGUGAAAUGCGUAGAUAUCAAGUUGAACACCAGUGGCGAAGGCGAGUCCCUGGACAACUCCUGACACUGAGUCACGAAAGCUAUGGGAGCAAACAGG
rnacentral:rRNA from 1 species